rnacentral:rRNA from 1 species
GACAGAGGGUGCAAACGUUGCUCGGAAUUACUGGGCGUAAAGGGCGUGUAGGCGGGAAGGCAAGUCGGGCGUGAAAUCCCCAGGCUCAACCUGGGAACUGCACUCGAAACUGCCUUUCUUGAGUACCGGAGAGGAAAGCGGAAUACCUGGUGUAGAGGUGAAAUUCGUAGAUAUCAGGUGGAACACCAGUGGCGAAGGCGGCUUUCUGGACGGUAACUGACGCUGAGACGCGAAAGCGUGGGGAGCAAACAGG